rnacentral:rRNA from 1 species
GAUGAACGCUGGCGGCGUGCCUAAUACAUGCAAGUCGAGCGAACAGACGAGGAGCUUGCUCCUCUGACGUUAGCGGCGGACGGGUGAGUAACACGUGGAUAACCUACCUAUAAGACUGGGAUAACUUCGGGAAACCGGAGCUAAUACCGGAUAAUAUAUUGAACCGCAUGGUUCAAUAGUGAAAGACGGUUUUGCUGUCUCUUAUAGAUGGAUCCGCGCCGCAUUAGCUAGUUGGUAAGGUAACGGCUUACCAAGGCGACGAUGCGUAGCCGACCUGAGAGGGGGGUCGGCCGCACGGGAGCUGGGCCGCGGUCCAUACUCCUGCGGGAGGGAGCAGUAGGGAAUCUUCCGCAGUGGGCGGGAACCUGGCGGAACAGCGGCACGUGAGUGGUAGAAAUCUUGCGUUCGUAAAGCUCUGUUUUUAGGGAAAAACAAAUGUGGAAUUAACUGUGCACGUCUUGACGGUACCGGGUCAGAAAGCCACGGCUAACUACGUG